rnacentral:sRNA from 1 species
ACCUCUUCCUGUUCCCGUCCUCGAGGACGCCGUGCCGGGCCAGUGUUAGCCUCCAUCCCUGGUUGUGGAAGGCGACAGAAGUCAUGGCGAUGUUUGAGCAGAUGAGAGCCAACGUGGGCAAGUUGCUCAAGGGUAUCGACAGGUACAAUCCUGAGAACCUGGCCACCCUGGAGCGCUAUGUAGAGACGCAGGCCAAGGAAAAUGCCUAUGAUCUGGAAGCCAACCUGGCUGUCCUGAAGCUGUACCAGUUCAACCCAGCCUUCUUUCAGACCACGGUCACUGCCCAGAUCCUGCUGAAGGCCCUCACCAACUUGCCGCACACAGACUUCACCCUGUGCAAGUGCAUGAUCGACCAGGCACAUCAAGAAGAACGGCCAAUCCGACAGAUUUUGUACCUCGGGGACCUGCUGGAGACCUGCCAUUUCCAGGCCUUCUGGGUAACUUCCCUGGGGUCCAGGGGCAGGGGAGAUGGCAGGGCCAUGUGGAGCUGAGUGCUAAAAGUAACAACGGUGCACACUGACUGGCUUCCUGCUUUGGCGGUGGGCCCAGUGCUCCGCAUGUGUGUGUUUGUGGAAUUAUCAUCCUCUCGCGGAGCAGGUACUCACAGGUCAUCCCCGUGCCCACAGGCUGAGGCCGACCCUUUCCCCUCUCUCCCGUCUUUCCGUUG